rnacentral:rRNA from 1 species
UACAGAGGGUGCAAGCGUUAAUCGGAAUUACUGGGCGUAAAGCGUGCGUAGACGGUUACAUAAGUCGGAUGUGAAAGCCCCGGGCUCAACCUGGGAAUUGCAUUCGAGACUGUGUAGCUAGGAUGCGGAAGAGGGAAGCGGAAUUUCCGGUGUAGCGGUGAAAUGCGUAGAUAUCGGGAGGAACACCAGUGGCGAAGGCGGUUGCCUGGAGCUUUGCUGACGCUGAUGCGCGAAAGCGUGGGGAGCGAUCCGG